CUUGUUCACAGGUUAAAGCACAAUUCUGGUAAGGCCCUCAUGUAUUUAAUGGUCCAGUAGAAGAUGGGAUACGUGAAAAUGUGAACAUGUUGCUGGUUAUACAGAAGCCAUCAAGCUGAAUGAGUGGAGAGUGCUAAGAUCUUAGCAUCAUCUUUCAUUUUGCCACAGAAAGGAAUGAAGGGGCAUCAUUAAACUGGCUGUUGUAGAGCAUUCUGCCAUUGAAUCGAGUGAACCGGGCUUGGCUCACACUGGAUAUUU